UACAGAGGUCUCAAGCGUUGUUCGGAAUUACUGGGCGUAAAGGGUGCGCAGGCCGCGCGGGCAGUCAAAUGUGAAAUCCAGGGGCUCAACCCCUGAAUUGCGCUUGAUACUUCCGUGCUAGAACUUUGGAGAGGAGUCUGGAAUUCUCGGUGUAGCAGUGAAAUGCGUGGAUAUCGAGAAGAACACUAAGGGCGUAAGCAAGACUCUAGACAAAUGUUGACGCUCAUGCACGAAGGCUAGGGUAGCGAAC
rnacentral:rRNA from 1 species